rnacentral:rRNA from 1 species
UACGUAGGGUGCGAGCGUUGUCCGGAAUUACUGGGCGUAAAGCGUGCGCAGGCGGUUUUGUAAGUCAGAUGUGAAAUCCCCGGGCUUAACCUGGGAACUGCGUUUGAAACUACAAGGCUAGAGUGUGACAGAGGGGGGUGGAAUUCCACGUGUAGCAGUGAAAUGCGUAGAGAUGUGGAGGAACACCGAUGGCGAAGGCAGCCCCCUGGGUUAACACUGACGCUCAGGCACGAAAGCGUGGGGAGCAAACAGG